rnacentral:ncRNA from 1 species
AUUGGUUUUUGCGGCUGUCUGACAAGGCAGUGCCGCGAAGCUACCAUCUGCUGGAUAAUGGCUGAACGCCUCUAAGUCAGAAUCCAUGCCAGAACGCGGCGAUUUCCUCCCACACAUCGUAGUCGGAUACGAAUAGGCCUAUGGCCCUGAAUCUUAGCUAGUUGGCAAUGGGACAGCGGGAGAAGUCCACUGUCUCAGCUGACGCCUUGCAAUUUUACCAUGCGUGGGGAUAAAACCUUUGCAUACGACUUAGUUAUAUCAGACGGUGCUGUAAAUAGUAGAGUAGUCUUGUUAUUACGAUCUAUUGAGGCUAAGCCGCGCUGAUUUAGUUUUGU